rnacentral:lncRNA from 1 species
GAGGGGGACCAGGCGGAGCUCCACGCCUCCGUGAGGUUAACCCCUUGGCAGAAGGCAGAAUGGAAGAGAGACUGACCACUGGUGGCUGCAGAUGCUCUGGUUACUAACAGCCACAAGUCAAGUCAACGUGAUCUGGAAGCCAGGAUCAGGUCGUCCUUCCAAACAGCAGUGUCUGCAGACAGUAAACUUCGGAUCAAAGCAGCAGGGCAAAAUGAACUGCCUAAGCCCCAUGGGUCACCUAAAUGAAACAGGAAAAGACAAAUAAAGGAAAAAGAAACAGCCUUCUCAGGCGAGUGGCAAAGGCAGCAGGACAGUGGAGGGACUGUCACAUGCAUGCCACGCCCUCCCCACAGGCUGUGUGUCAGCUCUGUCACAGCAGCUGCUGCCAGGAGCACAGAGGAAAACAGGUGUCCAUGCUGGCUUUUUAUAACAGACCUGAGUAGCGAAUAGAGACUGCAAAGAAUGGGGCCAGGGCCACCAAAUAUUCUUCCCGGCCUUGGAGACCCCACCAUGCCAGGGCCUGGGCCGUUCAGUGCUUCAGUGUUUACCAAGAUCCAGAGGAUGUGGCCCCUGCAGGGACAAUGAGGAAGAGCCAGUGAUUAGAUUAGCCCUGAGCUAGCAUCUGUGCCAGUCUUCCUGUAUUUGAUAUGUGAGUCAUCACCACAGCAUGGCUGACGAGUGGUGUAGGUCCUGUUCCUGGGGCAUCACCACUAACGAAGGCUGUGGUCCAAGGCUUCCCACCAAGUCUGGGAAAGGAAAUACAACAUGGCGGCAGGCUAAACGAGGAUCAGGAGUCCCUGUUCGGCCCUUCUCUUGCUUCACCCCCUCCUUGGAAGCAGGGCUUGGAGCUGGUUUCAUGCAACAUUCUUCCUCAGCUGAGAAUGCAGACCCUCCCCCACGACCAGUCCUUAUCAACAGCUGUCCAGGGUCUGGGGCAUAUCAUUAGGUGAAGCCUUGGGGCAGCUGUGCCUCUGGUCCUUGACCCUGCAUUUAUUUUAGAGAUUAAAGACCAGAGGGAGUGGGAAGAGAAGCAGACUCAGAGUCUGCACAUCAUCUCAGCCCCAUUGCACCAGGCGGCAGAGAAAAGCCUGAAAACCAGACGUCCUACUGGCCGCACAGCUCCUGCCUGAGCCUUCCCCCAUUGCGUGCUCGCCACAUUGAAGAGCGAAUAAAAUCGCCAGGUGUUUAACAAUCAUAACAGCUUUUAUUCAGCACUCAUUAUGUGCCAGAUAGGGAGCUAAACACUUUUUACACAUUAAAUUAUUUAAUCCGCUCAACUCCUGAGAGGUUUAUACUAUUUUCUCCCUUUUUGUGAGAGAAGAAACUGAGGCUUAGGAAGGGCAGGUGACUUGUCCAAGGUCACACAGCGUGCAUCUGUGAACGCAGGAUUCUGACCCAUACUGUCAACUCCAAACGCAAAGAUGACAGAGAGGGAACUACUUGCUUCUGAAGUUUCAUGGCAUUUACAACCACCCCAGUCAUUUGGGAUUUGACAUAGUCUAAAAUGUUGCAUCAAUUUUCAUUUCAGGUUUUAUAAUCCCACAAAUAUUGCAAAUUCCUUGAGGUCAAAAACUGGCUGUUCUGCUUCUUUGUGUUCUUCCAAGUGUCAACAUAGCAAUUUGCACAAAACAGGCAAUUAAUGAUUAUGUACAUUAAUAAAUCUAAAAGAAGAGAGGCAAAUUAGCAAUAUCAAGUGAGCUGAAGAAACAGUGAGCCUAUAAAACCAAAACAGAGGAGGAUUUGUCUUCCCUUCUCAGGGUGGGGUCAGUAAAAGGCAAGUUCCAAGUCUAUCUUGAGUUCCCAAGGAGGGAAAUAUCACAGUCAGGUUAAUCAACUUUCUGAAAUAGCUCCAUUGGGAAUGAAGAGGACAGCAGAAGCAUCCUGAACGUGUCAGCGGGAAAUGAUUUCAGCAAAGCUCCAAUGUGCAUCAAGCUUGGCUCCCAGAAGCCCCAGACUCUCACAGCCUCAGAGAGGCAGCCUUGAUCCCUCCGCUCUUCCUGAGGGCUUAGAACUUGGGCAGAGGCCUGAGGGCAGGAGUCACGCAGCUCAGCCUGGAGCACACAAGCAGGAGAGGGCUGUGCACAAUGGAGAGGGAGCGAGAUAACGCAAAAUCCUUUAAGUAAAGACCCUGGGGCAGAGCGCCAGAUACCAAGGUACCAGGAUGUUUGUGGAUUCCAAUCUGCAAGGAGAGACAAGCGUGCUGACAUCACAGCCUACGAGACAGCCCAGGACAGGGGCACACUGCUCUCCUCCCACACCGUCCCCUUUGAGCUGGCCCCACACACGUGCACGCCCACGCACAAGCACACACCACCCCCCAACUGUACUCAACCCCUUCCUUUUCCUUAUCAAAGCACACACCUGUGAGCCCCAGACAGUGCUGGACUCCAGGCACCUCCUCCCCUCCUGGGGGCAGCUGCACACGAGUAUAAAGUGAGGAAAGUGACGCCAAUCUGCUAGAGGGAGAGGAAUCCCCCCUUCCCCUGUCCCCCAAUAAUCCAG